AUUCUAUUACAUUUAAUCAUUUUCCUUAUCUCCUGUUCAUAGUGGACAGGAGAUAUCUGUCCACUAGUGAGUCUAAAAUACCUUUCACAUCACCAGUCAGAAAUAUAUCUUCUAUUUACUAUGGGCAUAAAAUCAAUCAUGUCGCAUUAACAUUACAGUACCUAUUAAAGCAUUUAUUAUCUAUUUAUUCUAGUAUGAAACAAAGGUCGGAUAGCAUUCUUUCAUUACACUCAACGACCCACCGAUUAACGUUGUUUUGCAAAGUUAUCAUUGUUAAGUAAACUGUGAUUAACUUCUAUAUUAAAUUGCUCGUCCAACAAAAUUAUUGAAACUUCAAAUGCAGACAAUUGAGUUCACAUCAAUUGUUGCCCCAAUACAUUUUUUUUACCUUUCGGUACAUCACAUUUUCAAAAUUCAUGUGAAAUCGCCCUUUAUUGUCCAAACCUUCAUUCUUUUGCAAUGGCAAAUAAUCUCAAAAAAUGGAACAAAAAAAGGGUUAAAUCCAUCAAUGACCAUCCAAUUUUAUACUAAGGGCUUGUUUGAACUACAUUAUUUUCAGAAAAAUAUAUUCUUCAAUAGUGAUUUGACAUCAUUUCAACUACACAUUCUUUAAUAAAAUAAUAUUACACGCAAAUUUAAAAUUUUUCCUUACUUUGUAAUCACACAUUUUUCAUUGAUUUGACAUGAAUAAUGCAUUUUUUUCUAGAAUAUGG
rnacentral:lncRNA from 1 species